GCCCAGGUGGUGGAAUUGGUAGACACGUUGGACUUAAAAUCCAAUGGCCUUUAACGGCCGUGCGGGUUCAAGUCCCGCUCUGGGUA
rnacentral:tRNA from 2 species